AACAUCGCGCACCUGCGGGAACCUGCGGAAGGAUCAUUACAGGGUUGCAAAACUCCCUAAACCAUUGUGAACGUUACCUAAACCGUUGCUUCGGCGGGCGGCCCGGGUCCUUCCCGGCGCCCAUCGGCCCUCGCGGGCGCCCGCCGGAGGUAAACCAAACUAUUGCAUUGUAUGGCCUCUCUGAGUCUUCUGUACUGAAUAAGUCAAAACUUUCAACAACGGAUCUCAGAUCGGAAGAGC
rnacentral:misc_RNA from 1 species